UUAAUUGAAGAGUUUGAUCAUGGCUCAGAUUGAACGCUGGCGGCAGGCUUAACACAUGCAAGUCGAGCGGUAGCACAGGGGAGCUUGCUCCCUGGGUGACGAGCGGCGGACGGGUGAGUAAUGUCUGGGAAACUGCCUGAUGGAGGGGGAUAACUACUGGAAACGGUAGCUAAUACCGCAUAACGUCGCAAGACCAAAGAGGGGGACCUUCGGGCCUCUUGCCAUCAGAUGUGCCCAGAUGGGAUUAGCUAGUAGGUGGGGUAAUGGCUCACCUAGGCGACGAUCCCUAGCUGGUCUGAGAGGAUGACCAGCCACACUGGAACUGAGACACGGUCCAGACUCCUACGGGAGGCAGCAGUGGGGAAUAUUGCACAAUGGGCGCAAGCCUGAUGCAGCCAUGCCGCGUGUGUGAAGAAGGCCUUCGGGUUGUAAAGCACUUU
rnacentral:rRNA from 1 species